rnacentral:SRP_RNA from 1 species
UUCUGUUGACGAAACAGUCAAAAACAAAUAUAAUAAAUUAGUACGACAAAAUUGUCUUUUGACAGCUCCGUCGGCGCGGUUUGGGUCCCGCGCAAUGGGACGCCGUGAACCUUGUCAGGUCCGGAAGGAAGCAGCAAUAAGCGGAAGCUCUUAUGUGCCGCGGAUAAGCCUUUUCCGAUGUCUGCGGAGCUGUCAAAGGACAAUUUUGUUUUAGAA